AUUGAACGCUGGCGGCAGGCCUAACACAUGCAAGUCGAGCGAGCGGCGGACGGGUGAGUAAUGUAUGGGGAUCUGCCCGAUGGCGGGGGAUAACUACUGGAAACGGUGGCUAAUACCGCAUACUAUCGGAUGAACCCAUAUGGGAUUAGCUAGUAGGUGGGGUAAAGGCUCACCUAGGCGACGAUCUCUAGCUGGUUUGAUAGGAUGAUCAGCCACACUGGGCAUGAGACACGGUCCAUACUCCUACGGGAGGCAGCAGGGGGGAAUAGUGCACAAUGGGCGCGAGCCUGAUGCAGCCAUGCCGCGUGUAUGAAGAAGGCCUUAGGGUUUUAAAGUACUUUCAGCGGGGAGGCGUUACCCGCAGAAGAAGCACCGGCUAACUCCGUGCCAGCAGCCGCGGUAAUAC
rnacentral:rRNA from 1 species